AUUGAACGCUGGCGGCAGGCCUAACACAUGCAAGUCGAGCGAGCGGCGGACGGGGGAGUAAUGUAUGGGGACUGCCCGAUAGAGGGGGAUAACUCCUGGAAACGCUAGCUCAUACCCCGUAUUACAGCAUUACCCAUAUGGGAUUAGCUAGUAGGUGGGGUAAUGGCUCACCUAGGCGACGCUCCCUAGCUGGUCUGAGAGGAUGAUCAGCCACACUGGAACUGAGACACGGCCCAGACUCCUACGGAGGCAGCAGUGGGGAAUAUUGCACAAUGGGCGAAAGCCUGAUGCAGCCAUGCCGCGUGUGUGAAGAAGGCCCUCGGGUUGUAAAGUACUUUCAGUCGGGAGGCGUUACCGGCAGAAGAAGCACCGGCUAACUCCGUGCCAGCAGCCGCGGUAAUUC
rnacentral:rRNA from 1 species